CAGGAAGAAGGUUGUCUCUUGGAACUGAAUUGGCUGGCUCCUUGAUGCUGGACUUCCCAGACUUCAGAACUGUGGUGCUGCCUGUGAACGAAGCCAUGGCUCGGAGAGGACCAGUACCGUGGAACAGCUCCCAGCAGGUGCCAGGCCCUGUGGGAGAGGCCUUGAUGUUUUCACAGUGACCCUAAGGGGAGAGCCUUAACAGUUCCAUUUUACAGGUGAGGGAACCAAAGCACAGAGAAGAUAAGUGAAUUGUCCAAACAUGCUGGCACUCAGCUCAUAGAGGUGGAGCUGAGAAGCAAACCUUGAUUUGAGUGACUCCAAAUCCAGCCUUGUUUCCAUUGGAGCAUGUUCCAUAAACACUUGGUUCAUUAGGAUGGAAGAAAGGAAGACAAAUCUGAC